rnacentral:rRNA from 1 species
AGUAACCUGCCUUGGAGUGGGGAAUAACGCAUCGAAAGAUGUGCUAAUACCGCAUGAUGCAGUUGGGCCGCAUGGCUCUGACUGCCAAAGAUUUAUCGCUCUGAGAUGGACUCGCGUCUGAUUAGCUGGUUGGCGGGGUAACGGCCCACCAAGGCGACGAUCAGUAGCCGGACUGAGAGGUUGACCGGCCACAUUGGGACUGAGACACGGCCCAGACUCCUACGGAAGGCAGCAG